rnacentral:rRNA from 1 species
CGCCAGACUCCUACGGGAGGCAGCAGUGAGGAAUAUUGGUCAAUGGGCUUACGCCUGAACCAGCCAAGUCGCGUGAGGGAUGACGGCCCUACGGGUUGUAAACCUCUUUUGUCGGGGAGCAAAUUCCGCCACGUGUGGCGGAGUCGAGAGUACCCGAAGAAAAAGCAUCGGCUAACUCCGUGCCAGCAGCCGCGGUAAUACGGAGGAUGCAAGCGUUAUCCGGAUUUAUUGGGUUUAAAGGGUGCGUAGGCGGAAUGCCAAGUCAGCGGUAAAAUCGCGGGGCUCAACCUCGCUCCGCCGUUGAAACUGGCGUUCUUGAGUGGGCGAGAAGUAUGCGGAAUGCGUGGUGUAGCGGUGAAAUGCAUAGAUAUCACGCAGAACUCCGAUUGCGAAGGCAGCAUACCGGCGCCCAACUGACGCUGAAGCACGAAAGCGUGGGUAUCGAACAGGAUUAGAUACCCUGGUACC